GAUGAACGCUAGCUACAGGCUUAACACAUGCAAGUCGAGGGGAAACGGCAUCGAAAGCUUGCUUUUGAUGGGCGUCGACCGGCGCACGGGUGAGUAACGCGUAUCCAACCUGCCCAUCACUUGGGAAUAACCUUGCGAAAGUAAGACUAAUGCCCAAUGACAUCCCACGAAGGCAUCCGAAUGGGAUUAAAGAUUUAUCGGUGAUGGAUGGGGAUGCGUCUGAUUAGCUUGUUGGCGGGGUGACGGCCCACCAAGGCAACGAUCAGUAGGGGUUCUGAGAGGGAGGGCCCCCAGAAUGGAACUGAGACACGGUCCAAACUCCUACGGGAGGCAGCAGUGAGGAAUAUUGGUCAAUGGGCGAGAGCCUGAACCAGCCAAGUAGCGUGCAGGAUGACGGCCCUAUGGGUUGUAAACUGCUUUUAUAAGGGAAUAAAGUGGGUCACGUGUGACUUUUUGCAUGUACCUUAUGAAUAAGGACCGGCUAAUUCCGUG
rnacentral:rRNA from 1 species